UACGUAGGGUGCGAGCGUUAAUCGGAAUUACUGGGCGUAAAGCGUGCGCAGGCGGUUCGGUGAGUCCGAUGUGAAAGCCCCGGGCUUAACCUGGGAAUGGCAUUGGAAACUGGCGGGCUUGAGUGCGGCAGAGGGGGGUGGAAUUCCGCGUGUAGCAGUGAAAUGCGUAGAGAUGCGGAGGAACACCGAUGGCGAAGGCAGCCCCCUGGGUCGACACUGACGCUCAGGCACGAAAGCGUGGGGAGCAAACAGG
rnacentral:rRNA from 1 species